AGUUAAUGUUGGAUAUAAAAUUCUGUUCAACUGUAAAGAUCUUAUAUGGUAGUUUUCUUUUGGAGUACAGUAUCCUUAAUGUGAUUUUAUCUUUAACACACAAAAUAAAAUGGUCAAGAGUUUUUGUUUUUGUUUUCUUCUCAAUGCAUAUUGGUUGCUUCCCCAAACUACAUUAGCAUCCAGCAGCUUUCCCUUUGCUUGCAGUGGUAAUCCAGACAUUGGGUUCUGAGCCUGGCAUUCACAAGCCUUUAGCCUGCAGUGCCUGCUCUGCUGUCCUGCCAUAGUUCUUCCCAUGCUACCCCGCAUCCGUCCUAGGCUCUAAUCAUCUCCCCUCUCCACCCUCUUAGGCCUGGAGGGUUGGCUGCUUGUCUCCAUUCAUAGGGCUGGGAUUAUCCUCAGUAAAGCUCUCUGGUUUUGGAACACACAUCAAACUACCUUCCCCUUCUCUGGCCUGUCCCUCUUCUGCAGCAUCCCUUGCCUGAUUUCCCUGCUGACUAGUGCUUAGAAGCGUAAUUAGGCAGAUAAUCCUGCAGGAAGCUAAGAACAGAGUACAUGACAAAAGGAACAAUAAGUAGUCAGGGAUGGUUUGGGCUAAAUUGUUUUGGGGAAUCUUUUUUGUUUAUAUAUGUUUGUGUCCUGUGCAUGCAUAUGUAUGUGUGUUUUCACCUGUGUGUUAGCAUACACACGCGUGUGCACGCUUGUGGAGGUAAGAGGUUGAUACCACACAUCUUCAUCGGUUGCUCUCCAGCUUGUGGUUUGAGGCGGAGCCUCUCUCUUGAAGCCAGUUGAGCCCACCAGUUUGGCUACUGUAGCUACAGGAUGCUCUGGGAAUGCCCUGUCUCUUCUGCCCCCACACCACUAGCAACAGAGGCAGGCCGUCACAUCUGCCUGGCAUUUACGUGGGUGCUGGGAACCUGAACUCUGGUCUUCACUCUUGUGCCGCAGUUGCUUUUCACCCUGAACCAUCUCUCCAGGCCCCUGUAUGGCAAUGUGUUUUCAUGUAAAUUUCUGUUCAGUUUUAUAGUAUUUGCACACAGGUAAUGCCCUAGCUUUGAGUUCUUACUUAGCAAGUCCAGGAGGCCAUCGAAGGUGCCUUUCUAAGCAGAAUACUAUUUGGUCGGUUUACCCCACACUCUCUCUGCUCAUGUUUCCUAUACAGAGUAUGAAUGAAGUGACUGUGGUGUGUGCCUGUGAAUACUAGACACAGUUGGGUAGAAAGAAUCCUGAUCUAGAAGGAAAAUCUGUGCUGGAGAGAUGGCUCAGUGCGCUUGCCACACGAUCAUGAGGACCAGUGUAUGUCUCUUAUGCCAGUGUUCCUGCAGCAAGAUUAGGGGUGGAGACAGAGUCCCCAGAAACUCAGGAAUAAGUUAGUCUGGCAUUACACAGCAGUGGAUGAGAGACCCUGUUUCAAACAAGACAGAAGAUGAGUACUGACACCUGGGGUUGCCCUCUGACCUCCACGUGCCAUGCUUGGUGUGUAAAUGUUCACACACGCAGAGCCACACUCACACACGUGCAUACCCCCAAAGGAUAAAGCUUUAUGGUAGAGAUUCAUGGUGCCUUCAAAAGAGGAAGGGCUUCAUGAGUUUGAUUUGUUUCCUCAUUGAACUAGGGAUCUUUUUCAUCUCUCCAGGCUCUAGUUUUAGGAAUCAGAAAAGGCAGAGGGUCAGCAUAUAUGCUUGUGGGGAGUCUCCUGUAAAGUAUGAGGCAGAUGGUGCUUCCACUCUUUCAGCUAAAAUCUAGAAAAACUAAUAAAAUACAAGACAUGUGUUUCAAAGUGCUGUAGAAGUUGAUAGGAUGCUAUUUG
rnacentral:lncRNA from 1 species